rnacentral:rRNA from 1 species
CUCUGGUAUUGAUUGGUGCUUGCAUCAUGAUUUACAUUUGAGUGAGUGGCGAACUGGUGAGUAACACGUGGGAAACCUGCCCAGAAGCGGGGGAUAACACCUGGAAACAGAUGCUAAUACCGCAUAACAACUUGGACCGCAUGGUCCGAGUUUGAAAGAUGGCUUCGGCUAUCACUUUUGGAUGGUCCCGCGGCGUAUUAGCUAGAUGGUGGGGUAACGGCUCACCAUGGCAAUGAUACGUAGCCGACCUGAGAGGGUAAUCGGCCACAUUGGGACUGAGACACGGCCCAAACUCCUACGGGAGGCAGCAGUAGGGAAUCUUCCACAAUGGACGAAAGUCUGAUGGAGCAACGCCGCGUGAGUGAAGAAGGGUUUCGGCUCGUAAAACUCUGUUGUUAAAGAAGAACAUAUCUGAGAGUAACUGUUCAGGUAUUGACGGUAUUUAACCAGAAAGCCACGGCUAACUACGUGCCAGCAGCCGCGGUAAUACGUAGGUGGCAAGCGUUGUCCGGAUUUAUUGGGCGUAAAGCGAGCGCAGGCGGUUUUUUAAGUCUGAUGUGAAAGCCUUCGGCUCAACCGAAGAAGUGCAUCGGAAACUGGGAAACUUGAGUGCAGAAGAGGACAGUGGAACUCCAUGUGUAGCGGUGAAAUGCGUAGAUAUAUGGAAGAACACCAGUGGCGAAGGCGGCUGUCUGGUCUGUAACUGACGCUGAGGCUCGAAAGUAUGGGUAGCAAACAGGAUUAGAUACCCUGGUAGUCCAUACCGUAAACGAUGAAUGCUAAGUGUUGGAGGGUUUCCGCCCUUCAGUGCUGCAGCUAACGCAUUAAGCAUUCCGCCUGGGGAGUACGGCCGCAAGGCUGAAACUCCAAGGAAUUGACGGGGGCCC